GAUGAACGCUGGCGGCGUGCCUAAUACGUGCAAGUCGAGCGAACAGAUAAGGAGCUUGCUCCUUUGACGUUAGCGGCGGACGGGUGAGUAACACGUGGAUAACCUACCUAUAAGACUGGGAUAACUUCGGGAAACCGGAGCUAAUACCGGAUAACAUAUUGAACCGCAUGGUUCAAUAGUGAAAGGCGGCUUUGCUGUCACUUAUAGAUGGAUCCGCGCCGUAUUAGCUAGUUGGUAAGGUAACGGCUUACCAAGGCAACGAUACGUAGCCGACCUGAGAGGGUGAUCGGCCACACUGGAGCUGAGACACGGUCCAGACUCCUACGGGAGGCAGCAGUAGGGAAUCUUCCGCAAUGGGCGAAAGCCUGACGGAGCAACGCCGCGUGAGUGAUGAAGGUCUUCGGAUCGUAAAACUCUGUUAUCAGGGAAGAACAAAUGUGUAAGUAACUGUGCACAUCUUGACGGUACCUGAUCAGAAAGCCACGGCUAACUACGUG
rnacentral:rRNA from 1 species